CUUGAUCGAGCCCAGCCACAGCGGCCGCUCGCGGUCCUUCCCAUACGUGGCCAGCAAAGCCUGCGCCUC
rnacentral:antisense_RNA from 1 species